AGAACGAACGCUGGCGGCGUGCCUAACACAUGCAAGUCGAGCGCGAAUAGGGGCAACCCUUAGUAGAGCGGCGCACGGGUGAGUAACACGUGGGUAAUCUGCCCAAGAGUCUGGGACAACCAUCCGAAAGGGUGGCUAAUACCGGAUAAGCCUUCAGGGACAACACGUCUCCGCAGGAAAAGGUGGCCUCUGCAUGCAAGCUACUGCUUUUGGAUGAGCCCGCGGCCCAUCAGCUCGUUGGCGGGGUAACGGCCCACCAAGGCUACGACGGGUAGCUGGUCUGAGAGGACGAUCAGCCACACUGGAACUGAGACACGGUCCAGACUCCUACGGGAGGCAGCAGUGGGGAAUUUUGCGCAAUGGGCGAAAGCCUGACGCAGCAACGCCGCGUGUGUGAUGAAGUCUUCGGAUUGUAAAGCACUUUCGACCGGACGAAAACCUGUAGAAUUAAUACUUCACGGCUUGACGGUACCGGAGAAGAAGCACCGGCUAACUCUGU
rnacentral:rRNA from 1 species